UACGAAGGGGGCUAGCGUUGUUCGGAAUUACUGGGCGUAAAGCGCGCGCAGGCGGUCUUCCAAGUCAGUGGUGAAAGCCUGGAGCUCAACUCCAGAACUGCCAUUGAAACUGUUAGACUUGAGUACGAGAGAGGUGAGUGGAAUUCCCAGUGUAGAGGUGAAAUUCGUAGAUAUUGGGAAGAACACCAGUGGCGAAGGCGGCUCACUGGCUCGUAACUGACGCUCAUGCACGACAGCGUGGGGAUCAAACAGG
rnacentral:rRNA from 1 species